UACAUGGGGUGCAAACGUUGCUCGGAAUUAUUGGGCGUAAAGCGCACGUAGGCGGUUUGUUAAGUCGGAUGUGAAGUCCCUCGGCUCAACUGAGGAAGUGCAUCCGAAACUGGCAGGCUUGAGUACUAAAGAGGGUCGCGGAAUUCCCGGUGUAGAGGUGAAAUUCGUAGAUAUCGGGAGGAACACCGGUGGCGAAGGCGGCGACCUGGGUAGAUACUGACGCUGAGGUGCGAAAGCGUGGGGAGCAAACAGG
rnacentral:rRNA from 1 species